GUCUGCAGCCAUACCACCCUGAAAGCACCUGAUCUCGGAAGCUAAGCAGGGUCGGGCCUGGUUAGUACUUGGAUGGGAGGUCAUAAUAACAUCAACCUCAAAGAAUUAUGAAUUUUGUAAAUG
rnacentral:rRNA from 1 species